rnacentral:rRNA from 1 species
CUACGGGAGGCAGCAGUGAGGAAUAUUGGACAAUGGGGGAAACCCUGAUCCAGCAAUGCCGCGUGUGUGAAGAAGGCCUGAGGGUUGUAAAGCACUUUCAGUGGGGAGGAGUCUUAUUAGGUUAAGAGCUAAAUAAGAGGACGUUACCCACAUAAGAAGCACCGGCUAACUCCGUGCCAGCAGCCGCGGUAAUACGGAGGGUGCGAGCGUUAAUCGGAAUUACUGGGCGUAAAGGGUGCGUAGGUGGUUUGAUAAGUUAUCUGUGAAAGCCCUGGGCUCAACCUAGGAAGGCCAGAUAAGACUGUUAGACUCGAGUAUGGGAGAGGGUAGUGGAAUUUCCGGUGUAGCGGUGAAAUGCGUAGAGAUCGGAAGGAACACCAGUGGCGAAGGCGGCUACCUGGCCUAAUACUGACACUAAAGCACGAAAGCGUGGGGAGCAAACAGGAUUAGAUACCCCAGUAGUCG